AGAGUUUGAUCCUGGCUCAGGAUGAACGCUAGCUACAGGCUUAACACAUGCAAGUCGAGGGGCAGCAUGUUGGUUGCUUGCAACCAAUGAUGGCGACCGGCGCACGGGUGAGUAACGCGUAUCCAACCCACCCUUGUCCAUCGGAUAACCCGUCGAAAGGCGGCCUAACACGAUAUGCGGUUCACAGCAGGCAUCUAAGGUGAACGAAAUGUGAAGGAGAAGGAUGGGGAUGCGUCUGAUUAGCUUGUUGGCGGGGUAACGGCCACAAGGCGACGAUCAGUAGGGGUUCUGAGAGGAGGUCCCCCACAUUGGAACUGAGACACGGUCCAAACGUCCUACGGGAGCA
rnacentral:rRNA from 1 species